UGAGCAGGUAUUGUGUAUCUGUGUUGUGUUACAUAUAAAAGCUUUGUUUCGCAAAGAGUUCGCUGCUAAAAAAGAACUGUCAGGGGAAAAUGGGCAGUUGUGUUUGAUAUAACAUGUUGAAAUUUCAACAAUGAUCUCCAAAUCG
rfam:Populus trichocarpa scaffold_3_contig_50, whole genome shotgun sequence.